ensembl:lncRNA
AUUUUUGCAUAUUAUGUACAUACACACGCAGGGUAGAGGCAUACAUCGACCCAUGCAUGCAUGAGAGGGUGUGUAUAUAUAGAAAGGGAGAGGUAGAUUGACAGUCUCCUGGAAAAGAUCUUUGACUUUAUUUGUGGAAAUAAGAAAGUGGAACUUCUACUAAGGAAAAGUCUUAAGGUUAUAGAAUGUCAUUGCCUUCUAAAUUGAAUAAGUUAUUCUAGCAGCUGCAGUGAUCAUCACUGACAGUCACCUGUUUAAGGUUAACAAUGGUACUUGUUAUUUGUAGGUACAGACAUUACAUAAUGUCACUGGCAGUGGAGGUGGACAAGUUUGGAAUCGGAACUCUUGGAAUCAGUACUUCUUUACAUAUGGACACAACUGAAUUGCAGAUGUCAACCCACCAUUUUAUAGAAUGACAAAGGAAUUGAUUUUGAAUUCUAAUUAGGUAUCCACAUAUCUGUUGAAUGGCUAAUACUGUCGACUUAAAAAAUAUGCACUACCUAAAAGUUGAGAGCUAAGUUUUAUUUGGGGCAAAAUGAGGACCAUAGCCUGGAGGCAGCAUCUUGGAGAGCUCUGAGAAACCGCUCCAAAGGAGUAGGAAAAAAUCCACAUAUAUGUGAUUUUGGCAAAGGGGGAUUGUAUAAUAUGACCAAACUCACAUUUUACAGAAGGUCACUGCUGGUCAUGAGAAGCAGAUAUCAUCAUGAAGGAUUUUAGUGCUUUUAUAGAUGUGAGGAGAUGGAAGUUUUUGGUUCAUAACAUCUCCUGAAAAUAUCCAACUCUCUGAAGACCUGUUCUGCCAGUUUUCCCAGAGCACGGGGCUCCUCACUCCUGAUCUCCACCCUGAGCUCUUUUGCAGGUGUAGAGGGUCAACAGCUGCAGUGGCACAGGAUUCAGUCUCUGUAGAAGCAGAUGGCCAGUGUCAACCUCCAGUUCACGGUACAGAAUGACAAGCAUAUUAAAUCCUGAUGAGGAGCAGUCUCAAACUUCUUCCCUCUCCAACACACCUGAAAAACAGAAUAUCUUUUCCUUCCACAAAAUGAUUCAACUUAGUCAGAAAAUACAUUAAACAAAUACUUAUUAAAUGC